GACAGGGGCCUCGAGCGUUAAUCGGAAUCACUGGGCUUAAAGGGUGCGUAGGCGGGCCUGCAAGUGCUCCGUGAAAUCCCCCGGCUCAACCGGGGAACUGCGGGGCAUACUGCGGGUCUUGAGGAAGGUAGGCGCCGAGGGAACAGUAGGUGGAGCGGUGAAAUGCGUAGAUAUCUACUGGAACGCCGAUGGUGAAGACGCUCGGCUGGGCCUUUCCUGACGCUGAGGCACGAAAGCGUGGGGAGCAAACGGG
rnacentral:rRNA from 1 species